UCCGACGGCAGCCGCCGUUUCGCGACCCACGGCGGACUUGCAUAAACACUUUCUAGUUGGAAUCUCACCCUGUGAGGUGGGCAAGGUAGUGAUAUUCCUGUUUGACGCCGACAGAAAUAAGAGAGAUUGACUCUCAGAACCAUGUGGCGGGAUUUUAAAGGAGGAUCUUAACAGUGGCUCGGACAGACCCGUGUUUUCUGCUCCUAGCAUUAACUACGUCGUUAAACCCUUCUGAAUUUAUUUCGUCUGUGAAAUGGGGAAAAGAUAGCCACCUUGCAUAACUGGUGAAGAAUUCGUAAACUGACAGCAGAAUCUAGUAAGAGGACUGGCCCGUGGUCGGCUCUUAAUGGUGUCACAGAAUAAAGAAAAAGACUGGGAGAGAGAUGGGAGCUGAUAGACCAGAGGAGACCAAAGACUGAAACUGAAGACUAAACCAUGGAAAUUGGGAACAAGCACUUACUCGCUUAGAGGGUGAAAAAAGUGAAUUUGCCUACAGGGCCAAUUUGGAAGCACCUCUCCCUGGAAGCCAGUCAAUGAAGAGCCAUUGGAGGAUUUUAAAUAAGGAACCGAAAAAUGGAGUCUGAAAAUAGAGGCGCAGAGACCGGUAAGUUGGUGGUUGCCAAUCAGUGGUCCAAGGA
rnacentral:lncRNA from 10 species